GAAUCAUAUAAAUAUCAGCUGUAGGGACAGAUUUCAAUUAAUCUGAAGUUAUUUGAUUUAGAUUGAUCUCGGUUUGUUUGUCGAGAAUAAAAGAGCGUCAUGUUGUCGAUGAAGAUAUUGGUUGUUAUCGCAAUGGCCUUGAUAAUAUGUACUGCACAUGCUCAACGUAGAGGUGGAAGGCGGCCCAGGAUUGCAGGACGAUUUGUAAAGGUUAUAGGUUUAGUUUGUAAACUGAAGGCGAGAGUAGAGGAGUUUUCAGAUGACUCUAUUGGACCGUUUUUUGAAUCUUUAGAUGACGCUUGCGAUGAAUUUGAGACGAUCCGAAAAACGCUAGUAUCGAAGCUAACUGAGAAACUUGUGUCGCCAAUUACCGGUGUGCCAACUACCCCUGUGUCAACUACCCCUGCGCCGUUACCAACUACCAACUCUGUAUUGCCUCCAUCAUCACCACCGGGUAAACGAUCCAAUAUGAUUAGGAAACGUUUAUUGGAGUCGUUGCUCGCAUUAAUGCAGUGAUAGUUUACUAAAAUAAAAUAUUGAGUGGGUUAAA